rnacentral:rRNA from 1 species
UGCCUACGGGGCGCAGCAGUGAGGAAUAUUGGUCAGUGGCCGAGAGGCUGAACCAGCCAAGUCGCGUGAGGGAUGACGGCCCUACGGGUUGUAAACCUCUUUUGUCGGGGAGCAAAGAGAGUCACGUGUGACUCAUUGAGAGUACCCGAAGAAAAAGCAUCGGCUAACUCCGUGCCAGCAGCCGCGGUAAUACGGAGGAUGCGAGCGUUAUCCGGAUUUAUUGGGUUUAAAGGGUGCGCAGGCGGAGGUGCAAGUCAGCGGUCAAAUUGCGGGGCUCAACCCCGUACCGCCGUUGAAACUGCAUC